rnacentral:rRNA from 1 species
CCUACGGGAGGCAGCAGUGGGGAAUUUUGGACAAUGGGCGCAAGCCUGAUCCAGCAAUGCCGCGUGAGUGAAGAAGGCCUUCGGGUUGUAAAGCUCUUUUGUCAGGGAAGAAACGGUGGGGGCUAAUAUCCUCCACUAAUGACGGUACCUGAAGAAUAAGCACCGGCUAACUACGUGCCAGCAGCCGCGGUAAUACGUAGGGUGCAAGCGUUAAUCGGAAUUACUGGGCGUAAAGCGUGGGCAGGCGGUUUUGUAAGUCUGUCGUGAAAGCCCCGGGCUCAACCUGGGAAUUGCGAUGGAGACUGCAAGGCUUGAAUCUGGCAGAGGGGGGUAGAAUUCCACGUGUAGCAGUGAAAUGCGUAGAGAUGUGGAGGAACACCGAUGGCGAAGGCAGCCCCCUGGGUCAAGAUUGACGCUCAUGCACGAAAGCGUGGGGAGCAAACAGGAUUAGAUACCCUGGUAGUCCACGCCCUAAACGAUGUCUACUAGUUGUCGGGUUUUAAUAACUUGGUAACGCAGCUAACGCGUGAAGUAGACCGCCUUGGGGGAGGUACGGUCGCGAGUAAGUUAAACGUUAAAGUUAAGUUAAGUUAGUUAGGUUCGUGAGACGUUGCCGACGGACGACGACGAGGGAGGAGG